GACGAACGCUGGCGGCGUGCCUAAUACAUGCAAGUAGAACGCACAGUUUAUACCGUAGCUUGCUACACCAUAGACUGUGAGUUGCGAACGGGUGAGUAACGCGUAGGUAACCUGCCUGGUAGCGGGGGAUAACUAUUGGAAACGAUAGCUAAUACCGCAUAAUAUUAAUUAUUGCAUGAUAAUUAAUUGAAAGGUGCAAUUGCACCACUACCAGAUGGACCUGCGUUGUAUUAGCUAGUAGGUGAGGUAACGGCUCACCUAGGCGACGAUACAUAGCCGACCUGAGAGGGUGAUCGGCCACACUGGGACUGAGACACGGCCCAGACUCCUACGGGAGGCAGCAGUAGGGAAUCUUCGGCAAUGGACGAAAGUCUGACCGAGCAACGCCGCGUGAGUGAAGAAGGUUUUCGGAUCGUAAAGCUCUGUUGUAAGAGAAGAACGGGUGUGAGAGUGGAAAGUUCACACGGGACGG
rnacentral:rRNA from 1 species